rnacentral:lncRNA from 1 species
CAAGAGUUUUUGAAAGACAGGCCAUCUCCUCUAGGAUUUUUGAAAUUUAGUUAUUGUGCAAAGGAAAUGAGGUGGGGAAACACUGCUCAAGAGAUUAGUAGUUCCCAUCUAUAUUUUUCUGCCUGCUGCCAAUGCACACACUGGAGUGAAAUGAUACACCCCACCUACCAGAGCCUCACUAGGGCUUCUUACCAGUUGGAAUCUAAGCUCUUGAAGGAGGAGGUGUGAGUCAAAUAUACUAGACAAAGUUCCUAGGUAAUUCUUUUUUUUUUAAGAUUUAUUUCUCUCCCCUUCCCCCCCACCCCGGUUGUCUGUUCUCUGUGUCUAUUUGCUGUGUCUUCUUUGUCCACUUCUGUUGUUGUCAGCUGCACUGGGAGUCUGUGUUUUCUUUUUGCCUCAUCAUCUUGUU